rnacentral:lncRNA from 1 species
UUAACUUCCAUAUUUUAAAUUAUAAAAAUAAACUGGGAAACUAAAGCAAAUGUGCAUCCUUGCGGGACUCCAAGCCUGGGCACUGGCCGCCUGCGUGCACUCCUCUAAGUGUGCAUAACACGCCCGCAGGGGUUGCCAGCAGGAAGCCUGCGUUAACUUUAUCUCGUGGUGGGGAAGGUGGAGCCCACGCCCACACCUAGCAAGCUGGAGAGGGAGGUUUCGUGAGGAAAUAAAUAUGGGGCACGGAAACACAGUCUUCCGCAUGGAGUCCCCAGAGGCAGUGCAUUUUAAACCCUAAAUGUGGAUUACUGAGUGUCCGAGUGGAGUUUAAAUUCCGUUUGAAGAAACUGGAUAAGGAGUGUUUGUGUGGGUGUUUGUGCGCACGGCUAUAUGGGAGCAGGCACAGGAUCUCAGUGUUGGGGGUGUCCCUAGUGUGCGAUGUCCUCCUCUCGCCACAUUAGGAGAACUCCUUUAGCUCCCCCAAACUGGCCCCCGUAACUACCCUGCCUCGGUUCGUAAGGGGUUAACCAAAACCGAUUCCGAGGACAGACAACCCGCCCCCACAGUCACCCCCACCCACACUCGCUUCCGACCCUGGCCAAGCCCCCAAAUCUUCCCCGGGGACCCCCCACCCCGCAGCCCACCCACCGGAGCGCACAGCUCCUCACCUGAAGGGCCGGGCCACGUCCGGCCUCCCGAAGAGGCUGCGUGCGUCAGGCGGACCACCGCACGUGUCCUCGGCGGCGCGGAGCAGGUUUUUAGUGGAUUCCUUAGGACUUUCUGUAUAUGUAUACAAGAUCAUGUCAUCUCCCUGCAAGCUAUUUGGCAUAUGAAGGUCUUGACCUGAGAAAACCAUCUUGGAUAACCGUGGCAAGGAGAAGGAAAAAUGCAACACCUAGGAGAUUUCAGUAAACAGUAGAAUCAUGCCAACCUAAUCUGUGUUAAAAUGCUUGGAAUGUGGGAGCCGCUGAUGAUGCCUGUUGUCUGUGUGUCUGACUGAAUCCUUUCUUUACUCAGAGCAGCAAAGCAAAGCCUGGGAACCAGGCCAAAUGCCUGCCACUUACCUUAAAUUGAUCAGCCACUUUGAGAUUAAAACUCCUGAAAGCUGCCACACCGUGAAAACAAGGCCCCCUUCACAUUAAAGGCAAAUUGCGACUUUGAGUUUGCUGUGAUCUUUUUUCCAUUUUAUCCAGUUUUUCACAGUGCACACUUUUUUUUUCCUUUCCAUUUAUGCUCCAAUGUAGAAGCCAAUAGUUACAGCAUCUUGGCCAAGCAUUCAUUAAGGUUUAUAAGACCAAAAUUUAUGGUUAUUUAGGAGUUGGCACAAAGACAGACUGUUGCUGGAAAAAGAAAAAGAAAUACAGGUGGGAAAUAUAAGCCUCAACAAAGGCCCAUACUAUACAGUAGUGUGCUGGGCUCACAGGAGUGUCUGCAAGGAAAAUACU